GGCAGAGAGAGCAUCUAUGAGCCAAAUUCACUGGUGCUGGGUUUUAAGAUUGUAUUACUGGUGAAGAUUGUGGUGAGAGAGAAAUUUUAAGGAAUAAUUUAUUGAAAAAGCCACAAGGAGAAGAGCCAAGAGUGACACGUGGAGGAGUCCCAGAGGCUUAGUGGUAUAGAUCCACUGUCUCUUUUGGGUAUUUAAUUUAUGAUUUAUAAUGUGUUAUAUUGCCAAUAUUAGGACUUUUUUAUGUUUAUUGUCAAUUAUAUGAAUAUAUAAAUGUAAUCAUGCCUUUCAAACUAUUUCUAUUUUUGGUACAAU